AUGGAUGGGGAUGAAUGCGCUCAUUAUAUAUGCUUUGGGUGCUUGUGACCUCUUCUCGGCAGGUUUGCAAGGUUUCUAUUGGCGGUCACCAGAGAAUAACUUGGUUGAUGGGACAGAGGCAUUAUUGCAGGACAUGCUUCGAUCGAAGAACUGGGGUACCCUAGCAUUUGUAAUACUUGAGAUUUUAUUUUGGGGUCUUGUUUCCGGGUUUCUUCACAUGAAAGGCGUGUAUAUAAAACUGUAAAAUGGUACCAGUUUUAAUUUCCUGUAGUGACAAAAUUUAAGGACAUCAUCCUUGUUAAUAUUACAAGAAAUUGUAUAAAUAAUAUUUCGGGAUUAUUAUUUUAAGCA